GAUGAACGCUGGCGGCGUGCCUAAUACAUGCAAGUCGAGCGAACAGACGAGGAGCUUGCUCCUCUGACGUUAGCGGCGGACGGGUGAGUAACACGUGGAUAACUUACCUAUAAGACUGGGAUAACUUCGGGAAACCGGAGCUAAUACCGGAUAAUAUAUUGAACCGCAUGGUUCAAUAGUGAAAGACGGUUUUGCUGUCACUUAUAGAUGGAUCCGCGCCGCAUUAGCUAGUUGGUAAGGUAACGGCUUACCAAGGCAACGAUGCGUAGCCGACCUGAGAGGGUGAUCGGCCACACUGGAACUGAGACACGGUCCAGACUCCUACGGGAGGCAGCAGUAGGGAAUCUUCCGCAAUGGGCGAAAGCCUGACGGAGCAACGCCGCGUGAGUGAUGAAGGUCUUCGGAUCGUAAAACUCUGUUAUUAGGGAAGAACAAAUGUGUAAGUAACUAUGCACGUCUUGACGGUACCUAAUCAGAAAGCCACGGCUAACUACGU
rnacentral:rRNA from 1 species